UGUACUGAGUUAUUGCUGGGCACCGAUACAUAUUUUAACAUGUGUUAUCUCCAAAACUCAUGACAAUCCUGAAAGAAAACCUUUUAUAGUAUGAAAACUGAGAAUCAGAAAGGUUAAGUCAUGGGCCCAAUGAUUCACAGCUGCAAAUGGCAGAAGCAGGACAAAGUCCGUUGCUGCCAGUUUGGUGUCAGUGACAAGAAAAUGUGGGCUAUUUUCUCACAUCUAGAUGGAUAGUAUAGACUUCAUUAGAAAUGGUUUGGGGCGGACCUGCUGAGGAACCACCUAUUAAAAGACCUAUCAAGUUUUGUUUCUGAAUCCUUCCCAGGAUUCACUUCAAUGCCAGGAAGUGGGCGAUAAGAACUCCUAUCCCCUUUCCAAACUGUCUCACUCCAAAUGCUGUAAAUACAGAGGGAGAAAAAGAAGAGGACUUUCCUUGCAUAUAUAACAUAUAGCAGGAACUUCGAUUACACACCUGUCUUCUGAUCAACGACCUUUCUUUUGACUUGGAAACAGAUUUUACUUGAUGACGCCACCAAGCUGCGGGGGACCCAGGUGGCCCAAGUAGAAAUCAAAGACGGCCGGAUUCCCGGGCAGUUGCAGAGGUCCAUGGCUGCUGAGGCCAAGGCCACCCAGGAGGCCAGGGCCAGGGAAGUUCUUUUUUUCCCUUCAUCCAAAAGCCUGAACAUUUUCUAAAGAAGGGCUACUGCGAAAACCCUGUGCUCACUUGCCAGCUUUCAGAUGAAUGAGAAUGCUAAUGAUUUAGUGAAAAUGGUAAUGGUUUCAAAACUAAAAGGGAAACAUUACUGGAAGAACGACAAAUCUCAGAGAGAGAAGAAAACAAAGCCCAUGAAAGAAAGAAGAAAAGAAAGCAAGAAAGGAAGGAAAAAGGAAAGAAAACAAAGUAAAAAGCUGAAUCCCUUCACAAGAAGUGGUCCUCUUGUCACAAAUGCUGUGCAGAAGUAUGGCAGCAGAAUUCCAGCUGACCUGUCCUCAUGUUGUUCACACAUUGUGAUGCUUGUGAAAGAGUGGACUUCAGGAGGUGCUGGUGAGUUACAGAACUAGAAGAAGAGUUUAGGUGUUAUAUCCCAUUCUUGGAAUAAAGGGGGUCUGUCUUCCAUCAAGAGGAAAAGAAUAUGCAGGGCCACCUACAUCUCUGCAAUGUACUUUCUCUGAGUGGGUUUGCAAAGGAUGGUUCCAUUAAAUUACUGAUUUGAAAUCUUUUGUAUUAGAGUUGUGUUCAGAAUGAUCCAUAACGUGGGGUUCUUUAGAUGGAGAAGAGUAGACGCUACUGCUGGUCCUCUAGAGAGAUUUUUAAAUUAUAGUUCACAGAUGUGCCUGGUGUGUUGUUUGUCCAGGAGAGAAACCAAUACAAAUCUUGAUCCCUUUAGUCCAAAGAAAGAGCCACAUUCGAGGCAACCUGCCCGAGGGCAGGGAGAGUAGCUUGGUUUCCAAGUAAUCUCUCAAAGUGGCUAAUCCUAGGGGAGCAUUUGGUAAACAUUAACUGA